CUGCAGCCUUACUCCCAGCGAUGAGUGGCUGAAUCGAUUUCACAAAUAUCGCUAAUUUCUUACUCCCACCGCACAUUUUUGCGGCUCAUUGUGUUAUGACGUCACGCAAACCGUUCAGUGAAAAUUAUAGCGUUACUAAGCCAGAAAUUCGCACCACGAGCUCAUCACACAGACUAGAUUAUAAUGUCAAAAUUGCACUGAGCCGCCCCUUUGAAAAAAGUUCCUAUUCUUGCAACGCAAAGCCAUUACAAUGGCUAAUUUUCCUAUUUUUGUAAGAAAAACAGCCUGUAAUUAUACCUACAAAGUGAUGUGAAAGUAGUUACUGAGGAUACGUGAGGAUUGCAAACCAGUCUCCCUGGAUAUUCAAAGGAGUUGACGGACAAUUUGAUUGAAGACUUUAGCUCCAUGAAACUAGCUGAUUUUAGCGUAACAAAUAAGGUUUUUACUGCGUUGCAACUGGCUCCAGACUGGAAUUUAUUACCCAGACUAAAUAUUCAAGUGCCUAUCUGAAGUUCUUAACAACAAGUUGUAUUAAGAUCUUAUGAAGUUAAUACCUACAUAAGAAACUAAAUUGGCAUAUCAUUCUGCUACUGAAUAAUCAAGAAGCAGUUUUUUAGCUAAUAGAAGAGAACCUUAUGCUUGAUAUUUCAGAACACUAAUAAUAAUUGUGAUGUGAUUUAAUAUGAUACUUAAUAAACACAAAAUACAGCAAAAA